rnacentral:sRNA from 2 species
AUAAAGCAAUUAAGCAACCGUCCCCUAUAGACUUUCUAAGCUGCUUUGUCUGAUCUGCGGUCAUUUUGCACCAAGACACUUCCCUGGUCUACGUGUUCAAAGUGACGUCUUGUGAGCAACGAUUUCCCUCUGCUUUCGCCACAAUUUUCGUGCAGGAUGAUAACCUCGCGAAUUUGUAAAUAGCUCGCCAAACCACUGAUGAAUAAUGGGGCCUUCGCCUCCACUAGACACAGGGAAGACAACAUGGCCCAUCCCACAGUCUGAAUGGCUUUGAAACGGUCACCGUCAGUUUUAUGAAUAGUUGCGGAUACCUCAGACUCGUUCGGCUCAUUCCACAUAAAUGUAAUAUAUUAUUAGCACAUUACCCUUGCCCUUCGCAACUUGUGAACAAAUCAUGAAACUUCGCCUGAGGGAAGGAAGAAGUGGGUUGGUUUCCCCCACCGUUUCUGUGAAGGAACACCAACAGAUGACUUGACCCCGUCAGUUAGCGGCCCCCGCCGUCCAAACUAAAUGGAUCCAUCCGUCAUCCUCCAUUUCCAGAAUUGGCUCCACAUGAAAUCAGCAUGCAAGGCUAUAUUUUGGAAAACGGCAUGUGUUGCAGCUUGAACCCUCAAUUCCCGAAAAAUAAAGGAGCAGGAUGGGGACAUUGCCCCCUAAAGCGAAGAUCAGUCUCAUCAGUUUACUGCGUAGUGCUCUUGGGUUUACUAUAUUUAUCUCACCCGGAUAGUUGGAAGCUGGACUUACAGCAAAGAUGCGCGUUAUAAUUAUGUUCUUUCCGUACAUGUGCGUGUCAAUCAAUUGACAUCAACACUCGAAUUCCGCUCUCAGAAAGUAAAUCGAUGCCAAGUUGAUUGUCAGGCAGAGCUUGGUUACAGUU